UCAUAAAUUUUAGCAUAGAUUGACUUCAGAAAUCUUUUACUUCAUUUGUUGUGAACACGCUUUUUGCUACAUAAAGCCUAAUUAGUCAGAGCUUGUCGCUUAUGAUUGCUGUUGUGGUCGAUAACAGAUGACAGCCGUCUGUAACA